UACGUAGGGGGCUAGCGUUGUCCGGAAUCAUUGGGCGUAAAGGGCGCGUAGGUGGCGGGACAAGCGUGCGGUGAAAGCCUGGGGCUCAACCCCGGGUCGGCCGUGCGAACUGUUUUGCUUGAGCACUGUAGAGGCAGGCGGAAUUCCGGGUGUAGCGGUGAAAUGCGCAGAUAUCAGGAGGAACACCGGUGGCGAAGGCGGGUCUCUGGGCCGAUACUGACGCUGAGGAGCGAAAGCGUGGGGAGCGAACAGG
rnacentral:rRNA from 1 species